CCUACGGGGGGCAGCAGUGAGGAAUAUUGGUCAAUGGACGAGAGUCUGAACCAGCCAAGUAGCGUGAAGGAUGACUGCCCUAUGGGUUGUAAACUUCUUUUAUAUGGGAAUAAAAUCUUCCACGUGUGUGAGUUUGUAUGUACCAUAUGAAUAAGGAUCGGCUAACUCCGUUCCAGCAGCCGCGGUAAUACGGAGGAUCCGAGCGUUAUCCGGAUUUAUUGGGUUUAAAGGGAGCGUAGGUGGAUUGUUAAGUCAGUUGUGAAAGGUUGCGGCUCAACCGUAAAAUUGCAGCUGAAACUGGUAGUCUAGAGUACAGUAGAGGUGGGCGGAAUGCGUGGUGUAGCGGUGAAAUGCUUAGAUAUCACGCAGAACUCCGAUUGCGAAGGCAGCUCACUGAACUGCAACUGACACUGAGGCUCGAAAGUGUGGGUAUCAAACAGGAUUAGAUACCCCUGUAGUC
rnacentral:rRNA from 1 species